rnacentral:tRNA from 9 species
GUAAGUUACUGAUUAAAAUAAUGUUUUCUGGUUUCGUUGCUUCCUUGGUAAGGGAGAGGUCGACAGUUCAAUCCUGUCCAGCAGCACCA